rnacentral:rRNA from 1 species
UACGUAGGUGGCAAGCGUUGUCCGGAAUUAUUGGGCGUAAAGGGCGCGCAGGCGGCGUCGUAAGUCGGUCUUAAAAGUGCGGGGCUUAACCCCGUGAGGGGACCGAAACUGCGAUGCUAGAGUAUCGGAGAGGAAAGCGGAAUUCCUAGUGUAGCGGUGAAAUGCGUAGAUAUUAGGAGGAACACCAGUGGCGAAAGCGGCUUUCUGGACGACAACUGACGCUGAGACGCGAAAGCCAGGGGAGCAAACGGG